rnacentral:rRNA from 1 species
AUUGAACGCUGGCGGCAUGCCUUACACAUGCAAGUCGAACGGUAACAGGUCUUCGGAUGCUGACGAGUGGCGAACGGGUGAGUAAUACAUCGGAACGUGCCCGAGAGUGGGGGAUAACGAGGCGAAAGCUUUGCUAAUACCGCAUACGAUCUCAGGAUGAAAGCAGGGGACCGCAAGGCCUUGUGCUCACGGAGCGGCCGAUGGCAGAUUAGGUAGUUGGUGGGAUAAAAGCUUACCAAGCCGACGAUCUGUAGCUGGUCUGAGAGGACGACCAGCCACACUGGGACUGAGACACGGCCCAGACUCCUACGGGAGGCAGCAGUGGGGAAUUUUGGACAAUGGGCGCAAGCCUGAUCCAGCCAUGCCGCGUGCAGGAAGAAGGCCUUCGGGUUGUAAACCGCUUUUGUCAGGGAAGAAAAGGUUCUGGCUAAUACCUGGGACUCAUGACGGUACCUGAAGAAUAAGCACCGGCUAACUACGUGCCAGCAGCCGCGGUAAUAC